rnacentral:rRNA from 1 species
UAGGGAAUCUUCCGCAAUGGACGCAAGUCUGACGGAGCAACGCCGCGUGAGUGAAGAAGGAUUUCGGUUCGUAAAACUCUGUUGUUAGAGAAGAACAGCGCAUAGAGUAACUGUUAUGCGUGUGACGGUAUCUAACCAGAAAGCCACGGCUAACUACGUGCCAGCAGCCGCGGUAAUACGUAGGUGGCAAGCGUUGUCCGGCUUUAUUGGGCGUAAAGCGAGCGCAGGCGGUCAAUUAAGUCUGAUGUGAAAGCCCCCGGCUCAACCGGGGAGGGUCAUUGGAAACUGGUUGACUUGAGUGCAGAAGAGGAGAGUGGAAUUCCAUGUGGAGCGGUGAAAUGCGUAGAUAUAUGGAGGAACACCAGUGGCGAAGGCGACUCUCUGGUCUGUAACUGACGCUGAGGCUCGAAAGCGUGGGUAGCAAACAGG